UUUUUUUUUAUAUUUCUAAUUACACAAAAGCAAAAUACUUGUACGCAGAAUGCGAACAACCAAAAAACGCAGAACAUGCUGAACAGCAGCAUCAACCAAAAUUUAUUCUUUCUCCUUUCUUUAUGGGGUAAGUCUUUAUCAUCCAAAAGCAGAACCCCGCUAUGGGGUUGGAGUCAUCAUUUUGUUUCGAAGAGGAAGUAGCAUUUGCACUGUGGCCGUGAAGUUUUGGACCUGAGAUUGCAUUUGCGCUAUUUUUUGAGCUUGCUUUCUUUGCAGGGAAGGGGAGUCUGUGAGUAGACAAUUGCAUCUAUUGGAAUUCGAUUUGGCAGGAUUUGAGAGGCUUAUCAUUUUCUUUCUUUUUCCACUACUGUACAUUUUUUUGACAAGUAUGGAUGGAAAUUCUGAUGGAUCCUGUCACUCAUUACAUCCAAGAAUAUUUGCAUGGUUUUUCUCUUGCUUCGGACACACAGCUAUAUACACCCCAUUCACAUAGCAACUGUAUUACCAAGACAAGAUGUAGACUUUUGUUUACAUUAUUCUUUUAGAUUAGUAGUAGUUUACAACUUUAUAUUAUUAUCAAUCAACCAUAUUAUUCUUCAAAGGAGAAAAAGAAUAAGCAUAUCUUGGAAACGAGAAAAAGAAGUCUAUCAAUUCAUGGA